GUGAGGAAUAUUGGUCAAUGGGCGGAAGCCUGAACCAGCCAAGUCGCGUGAGGGAAGAAUGGUCUAUGGCCUGUAAACCUCUUUUGAAAGGGAAGAAUAAGUGGCACGUGUGCCAUGAUGCCAGUACCUUUCGAAUAAGCAUCGGCUAACUCCGUGCCAGCAGCCGCGGUAACACGGGGGAUGCGAGCGUUAUCCGGAUUUAUUGGGUUUAAAGGGCGCGUAGGCGGGAUGCCAAGUCAGCGGUAAAAGACUGCAGCUAAACUGUAGCACGCCGUUGAAACUGGUGACCUAGAGAGAAGUCGAGGGAGGCGGAACAAGUGAAGUAGCGGUGAAAUGCUUAGAUAUCACUUGGAACCCCGAUAGCGAAGGCAGCUUCCCAGUCUUUGUCUGACGCUGAUGCGCGAGAGCGUGGGUAGCGAACAGGAUUAGAAACCCGUGUAGUCC
rnacentral:rRNA from 1 species